rnacentral:tRNA from 2 species
GGGUAAGUUUCCACUGGUAAGGUAAGAUGAUUGCUAUUCAUUGUGUAAAUACACUUAGGUGUUCGAUUCACCUUUUACCCG